AUGGAUCCAUUUAAAGUGUUCUACUUAGAUCAUCUUCGAUCUAUAUGUGCUCGUGCUGAAACCCCAACUAGUUUAGUUGAGGGAAAAUCACUAGAUGAGCAUGCUCAUUUUGUGCGUCACCGUUUGUCUGAAAAAGGGAGACUCUUAUGGGAUCAAAUAAACAGGUUGUUGUGCUAUUCUUGGGAUCUUUGUGAAAUUUAUGAUUUUACUUGUUGCUCUAAGAACCCUAAAAAACACCUUCCCUACCUAUGCGAGUUUAAUGAAAAUGAAAUCUUAUCUUCUUAUGCAAGGGGUGUUUAUAGUUACUAUGAUAUCAAACAAAUUGAAGAAUUUGUUGAUUUUAAGGGUGCUUAUGAAGUUGCUUCUUUGAUUGAAAAGUAUGAUAUUACUCUCAAUGAAUUUGAAAAUUUUGACAUACUUAAAUAUUGCUAUGAAAACUAUGCUCAUAAUGUCUAUGUCAAAGAAUUUAUUGAGGGAAUGAUUGUUGCUUUGGAAGAAAAUAAUGAUAUGCAUGAAUCUAUAGAUAAUGAUUCCGAUGAUUUGAUUGAAAUAUCCCUUGAUGAGCAUGAUGCUUUCUAUUCUUGUGGCCAUGAUGCCAAUAUUUAUGAAAAUGAAUUUGCUAUAGUUCCUUAUGUUAAAUAUGAGAUCGUUGCUAUUGCACCCAUACUUGAUAGUUCCUUUGAUGAAAGCAUGAUUGCAAUGAUGUUAUUAUAA
rnacentral:rRNA from 1 species